rnacentral:rRNA from 1 species
ACGGCUCAGUAACACGUGGCUAACCUGCCCUCGAGACAGAGACAACCCCGGGAAACUGGGGCUAAUCUCCGAUAGGCGAAGGGCUCUGGAAUGAGCCUUUACCCAAAUAACAAUCAGGCUAUGCUUCUGGUCGUCGCUCGAGGAUGGGGCCGCGACCGAUCAGGUUGUUGGUGAGGUAACGGCUCACCAAGCCUAUAACCGGUGCGGGCCGUGGGAGCGGGAGCCCGGAGAUGGGCACUGAGACAAGGGCCCAGGCCCUACGGGGCGCAGCAGUCGCGCAAACUUUGCAAUACACGAAAGUGUGACAGGGCUAUCCCGAGUGCCGUCCGCUGAGGAUGGCUUUUACCCAGUCUAGAACGCUGGGGGAAUAAGGAGAGGGCAAGUCUGGUGUCAGCCGCCGCGGUAAUACCAGCUCUCCGAGUGGUGUGGAUGUUUAUUGGGCCUAAAGCAUCCGUAGCUGGCCAAGUUAGUCCCUUGUUAAACCCACCGAAUUAAUCGUUGGAUUGCGGGGGAUACUGCUCGGCUAGGGGACGAGAGAGGCAGACGGUAUUUUCGGGGUAGGGGUGAAAUCCUAUAAUCCCGGGAAGACCACCAGUGGCGAAGGCUGUCUGCUAGAACGCGCCCGACGGUGAGGGGUGAAAGCUGGGGGAGCGAACCGGAUUAGAUACCCGGGUAGUCCCAGCUGUAAACGAUGCAGGCUAGGUGUUUGGGCGGCCACGUGCCGCUCUAGUGCCGCAGGGAAGCUGUUAAGCCUGCCGCCUGGGGAGUACGGUCGCAAGAUUGAAACUUAAAGGAAUUGGCGGGGGAGCAC